rnacentral:rRNA from 1 species
CCCUGGUGGCGAGUGGCGAACGGGUGAGUAAUGCAUCGGAACGUGCCCAGUAGUGGGGGAUAGCCCGGCGAAAGCCGGAUUAAUACCGCAUACGACCUGAGGGUGAAAGCGGGGGACCGCAAGGCCUCGCGCUAUUGGAGCGGCCGAUGUCAGAUUAGCUAGUUGGUGGGGUAAAGGCCUACCAAGGCGACGAUCUGUAGCUGGUCUGAGAGGACGACCAGCCACACUGGGACUGAGACACGGCCCAGACUCCUACGGGAGGCAGCAGUGGGGAAUUUUGGACAAUGGGCGCAAGCCUGAUCCAGCCAUGCCGCGUGCGGGAAGAAGGCCUUCGGGUUGUAAACCGCUUUUGUCAGGGAAGAAAAGCUCUGGGCUAAUACCCCGGAGUGAUGACGGUACCUGAAGAAUAAGCACCGGCUAACUACGUGCCAGCAGCCGCGGUAAUACGUAGGGUGCAAGCGUUAAUCGGAAUUACUGGGCGUAAAGCGUGCGCAGGCGGUUGUGCAAGACAGAUGUGAAAUCCCCGGGCUUAACCUGGGAACUGCAUUUGUGACUGCACGGCUGGAGUGCGGCAGAGGGGGAUGGAAUUCCGCGUGUAGCAGUGAAAUGCGUAGAUAUGCGGAGGAACACCGAUGGCGAAGGCAAUCCCCUGGGCCUGCACUGACGCUCAUGCACGAAAGCGUGGGGAGCAAACAGGAUUAGAUACCCU